UUAGUGUUUCUCAUCCAUUAUUGUCUCUUUUAAAGAUGACGCUCGCUGAAUCUCAGAAGGUGGUGUGCUGCAACAAUCUCUGACGCUGGUAAAACCUAUGUUGUUGAUGAUGGCUGUGCUGAAUCAGCGUUUGGUUUAGGGGCAGUUGAAGGCGAUGAUUGUGGAGGAGAGGAGUGAGUUUGGUUUGUCACACGCUGUGUUUUGCCUCUCUUGGUUUCUUGGGUUGUUGUGGACAGAAGCUGCUUGGCUCGCCACCUUAAAAUCUAGUUGUUUCUGUUCCUUUUCUUCAGGUGGAAUCUGCUUCUUUUCUUAUGUUUUAGAUAUGAAAAAUCAGAAACAUGUGUAGUAUCAUAAAUCUUUUGGAAGAAAAUUAAAACGUAAGUGAUGCAUGCUUAGUUGUUUUUGGUGUUGAUUGAAGAGCUGCCAAUUCCAGGAUCUCUGUGAAUCUUGUUUGUCCAUAGCACACUGCCUUUCUACAGUAUAUCACUACCCAUAUCUACUGCUUUGGUCCUUAGCUCAACCAAGUAGCGGUCAAUUUCAUUUUUCGUGCUUUGCAACAUAUGCUCUAAGACUACCAAGGGGGUUGGCCUAGUGAUUCCGUGGAAGUUCGGCUCCCAAGGUUUGAUUCCCGUUAGGAGGGGAUUAAGCAACCGGCUCUUGUCCUUACCUCUGGGAUUAGUCGGGUCUUUAGGGGCCGGAUGACCCGGGUUAUCAAGAAAAGAAAACAGAUGGUCUAAAGAAAGAAUCAUAAACAUAUGUAGUUUCCUGUGAAAAGGAGGAAAAUGCAGUGAGAUAGAAUUCCAAUGGAUUACAUGUACAGGUAGUACACACUCUCUCUCUCUCUGUUUCAGUUACCUCAAUGGAAGAGAAGAGAGUCAUACAUAAGUGCUCUUGUUAGAAAC
rnacentral:lncRNA from 1 species